rnacentral:sRNA from 1 species
UGCUUCUAGGAAGUAGAGCGCCGGCUCGCAUGCCUGCCCGCCCGCCAGCCUGCCGGAAUGAAACUAGUGAUCGAGAAGAUGGCCUCCCCAAAGGACAUCAUGUGACAGACUCUGAGAAUGAUGAGCCCUUAAAUCUUAAUGCUAGUGACUCUGAAAGUGAGGAGCUUCACAGGCAAAAGGACAGUGACUCUGAAUCUGAGGAACGUGCAGAGCCUCCUGCAAGCGAUUCUGAAAAUGAGGAUGUCAAUCAGCAUGGGAGCGACUCUGAGAGUGAAGAGACCAGGAAAUUACCUGGUAGUGACUCUGAAAAUGAGGAACUUCUUAAUGGGCAUGCAAGUGACUCAGAAAACGAAGAUGUUGAGAAGCAUCCCGCCAGUGAUUCUGAGAUUGAGGAGCUCCAGAAGAGUCCUGCUAGUGACUCUGAAACAGAAGAUGCUCUAAAACCUCAAAUCAGUGACUCUGAGAGUGAGGAACCCCCAAGGCACCAAGCCAGUGACUCCGAAAAUGAGGAGCCUCCCAAACCUCGAAUGAGUGAUUCUGAAAGUGAGGAGCUUCCUAAGCCUCAGGUCAGUGAUUCAGAAAGUGAGGAACCCCCAAGGCACCAGGCCAGUGACUCUGAAAAUGAGGAGCUUCCCAAACCUCGUAUCAGUGACUCAGAAAGUGAGGACCCUCCGAGGCACCAGGCCAGUGACUCAGAAAAUGAAGAGCUUCCCAAACCCCGAAUCAGUGAUUCGGAAAGUGAGGAUCCCCCAAGGAACCAGGCCAGUGAUUCUGAAAAUGAGGAGCUACCCAAACCCCGAGUCAGUGACUC